CAGGCGAACGCUGGCGGCGUGCCUAACACAUGCAAGUCGAGCGGGGACAUGCGACGGAUAUGAAGUUUCGGAUGGAGUGAAGAUGUAUGUUCUAGCGGCGGACGGGUGAGUAACGCGUGAACAAUCUGUCCUUCACAGGGGGAUAACACAGCGAAAGUUGUACUAAUACCGCAUGAGACCACGGUGAGGCAUCUUACAGGGGUCAAAGGAGCAAUCCGGUGAAGGGUGAGUUCGCGUCCGAUUAGAUAGUUGGUGAGGUAACGGCCCACCAAGUCGACGAUCGGUAGCCGACCUGAGAGGGUGAUCGGCCACAUUGGGACUGAGACACGGCCCAAACUCCUACGGGAGGCAGCAGUGGGGAAUAUUGGGCAAUGGGGGGAAACCCUGACCCAGCAACGCCGCGUGAGGGAAGAAGGUUUUCGGAUCGUAAACCUCUGUCCUAGGUGAAGAGAAAGAGACGGUAGCCUAGGAGGAAGCCCCGGCUAACUACGUGCCAGCCGCCGC
rnacentral:rRNA from 1 species